GAUGAACGCUGGCGGCGUGCCUAAUACAUGCAAGUCGAGCGAACAGACGAGGAGCUUGCCUUCCUGACGUUAGCGGCGGAUGUGUGAGUAAAACGUGGAUAAACUCCUUAUAAGCCUGGGAUAAACUCGGGGAACCGGAGCUAAUACCGGAUCAAAUAUUGCAUAGCCUGGCUCAAUAGUGAAAUACGGUUUUGCAGACACUUAUGGAUGGAUCUGCGCCGCCUUAGCUAGUUCGGAAGGUAACGGCUUACCCCGGCUACGACGACAAGCCGAACCGAGCGGGUGAUCGGCCACACUGGAACUGAGACACGGCCCAGACACCUACAGUGAGCAGCAGUAGAGAAUCUUCCGCGAUGGGGGAGAGCCUGACGGAGCAAAGCGGCGUGAGUCAUGAUGGUCUGAGGAUCGUAAAACGCUGUUAUUUGUGAAGAACAAAUGUGUAAGUAGCUAUGCACAUCUUGACGGUACCUAAUCAGAAAGCCACGGCUAACUACGCG
rnacentral:rRNA from 1 species